rnacentral:rRNA from 1 species
GAUGAACGCUGGCGGCGUGCCUAAUACAUGCAAGUCGAGCGAACAGAUGAGGAGCUUGCUCCUCUGACGUUAGCGGCGGACGGGUGAGUAACACGUGGAUAACCUACCUAUAAGACUGGGAUAACUUCGGGAAACCGGAGCUAAUACCGGAUAAUAUAUUGAACCGCAUGGUUCAAUAGUGAAAGACGGUUUUGCUGUCACUUAUAGAUGGAUCCGCGCCGCAUUAGCUAGUUGGUAAGGUAACGGCUUACCAAGGCAACGAUGCGUAGCCGACCUGAGAGGGUGAUCGGCCACACUGGAACUGAGACACGGUCCAGACUCCUACGGGAGGCAGCAGUAGGGAAUCUUCCGCAAUGGGCGAAAGCCUGACGGAGCAACGCCGCGUGAGUGAGGAAGGUCUUCGGAUCGUAAAACUCUGUUAUUAGGGAAGAACAAAUGUGUAAGUAACUAUGCACGUCUUGACAGUACCUAAUCAGAAAGCCACGGCUAACUACGU